GAUGAACGCUGGCGGCGUGCCUAAUACAUGCAAGUCGAGCGAACAGGUACGGAGCUUGCUCCUUUGACGUUAGCGGCGCACGGGUGUGUAACACGUGUGUCACCUCCCUAUAAGACUGGGAUAACUUCGGGAAACCGGCGCUUAUACCGUAUGACAUUUGGCACCGCAUUGUUCUAAAGUGAAAUUUGGUUUUGCUAUCUCUUCUCGCUGCAUCUGCGCCGUAUUGGCUAGUUGUUGCGGUAACGGCUUACCAAGGCGACGAUUCGUAGCCGACCUGCGAGGGUGAUCGGCCACACGAGAGCUGAGACACGGUCCAGACUCCUGCGAGAGGCAGCAGUAGGGAAUGGUCGGCAAUGGGCGAGAGCCUGACGGAGCAGCGCCGCGUGAGUGAUGAAGGGUUUGGGUGCGUAAAACUCUGUUAUUAGGGAAGAACAAAUGUGGAAGGAACUGAGCACGGCUUGACGGUAACGAAUCAGAAAGCCACGGCUAACUACGUG
rnacentral:rRNA from 1 species